GACGAACGCUGGCGGCGUGCUUAACACAUGCCAGUCGAGCGAGGCCCCUCCUUCGGGAGGGUGUCCUAGCGGCGAACGGGUGAGUAACACGUGGGCAACCUGCCCUCAGCUCUGGGAUAACUCCGGGAAACCGGGGCUAAUCCCGGAUACGACCUCCACGGGCAUCUGCGGAGGUGGAAAUUUUUUCGGCUGAGGAUGGGCCCGCGGCCUAUCAGCUAGUUGGUGGGGUAGUGGCCCACCAAGGCGACGACGGGUAGCCGGCCUGAGAGGGCGACCGGCCACACUGGGACUGAGACACGGCCCAGACUCCUACGGGAGGCAGCAGUGGGGAAUAUUGCGCAAUGGGCGAAAGCCUGACGCAGCGACGCCGCGUGAGGGACGAAGGCCUUCGGGUUGUAAACCUCUUUCAGCAGGGACGAAGCGAAAGUGACGGUACCUGCAGAAGAAGCACCGGCCAACUACGUG
rnacentral:rRNA from 1 species